AGCUCCAAUAGCGUAUAUUAAAGUUGUUGCAGUUAAAAAGCUCGUAGUCUGACUUUUGGCUGGCAGUUUUAGAGUCCCAGUUGGCCCGUCAAACGGUCGAUUGUUGUUUGAUUCUUCUGUCUUGGCCAUAUUAACUUUUCAGAGGAACGUCUUGUGCUUUUCAUUAAGUGCUUGCGGGAUUCUGAUGGUUUACUUUGAGAAAAAUAGAGUGUUCAAAGCAGGCGUUUCGCCAAUUGAAUACAUUAGCAUGGGAUAAUGGAAUAGGACAUUGGUUCUAUUUUGUUGGUUUUAAGGACCGAUGUAAUGAUUAAUAGGGACAGUUGGGGACAUUUAUAUUCCAUGGCUAGAGGUGAAAUUCUUGGAUUCAUGGAAGAUAAACUACUGCGAAAGCAUUUGUCAAAGAUGUUUUCA
rnacentral:rRNA from 1 species